rnacentral:lncRNA from 1 species
UGUUUAUUUGGAGGAAAUUGCAGGCGUCUGCUUUGUCUCUCAUAUCAUUUUGAGUCUGUUUCCGCCAACUCUCUCCAAGGCCAGGGCUCUUCGACUUCUACGGGCCAAACCCUGCCUAGGAUCCACUAGUUUCUGAACUUUUUCUAAUGUAGUCAUAGUGAGACCGGGCUGUUGUUUCUAACUUCAUGUUUUGCAAGAUUCAUAAAAUUGGGAAGAUUCUAUCUUUUUCUGCAUGGUGGCGUACUUAAUUUUUUAAAACUGGUGUUGGCUGUUUCUUACGAGUUUCCUAGAAGUCAGUAGCGCGUAGUGGUUAGGAGGUUGGCCUUUUGGAAUCAGUGAGCUCACAUCCCAGCUCAGUUAUUUUAGUACUGUUUGGUCUUGGGGCAGUUACUUGAAAACUGGGCAUAGUAAUACUCUCAACAACUUUGUAGGGUUGUUGUGAACAUUACAUGAGUUAGGGAGUGUAAAGCUUGACACAGUGCACUUCAGUGAAUGUUAGCUGUUAGCAUAUCUUGGUUGUUGGUUUCCGAAGUUUUUCUGUUGUUCCUUAAGUCAAUUUUUAUAGUUCACAUACAGAAAACAAUGCAUUUUUUUCCUUUCAAGGUUAGAAUUUUUCUGGAACAAAAUUAGACAUUUAAAAACUAUUUUUCUAAGGUGAUAGUUUCUCAUUCCAUAUGUGCAUAUGUGUAAUUUUCCUUUUUUCUUUUGCAAGCAGGUUGUCUCUGUGGUCUCUUUAACAGGCAAAAAUGUAGUCUAGAACAGUGAACUGGAAAUAAACGGUGUAGUGAUUUCUAAAUAGAGUGGAUAGAUGUUAAUGAGGUACCUGUGGAGAAUAGUGCCAGAGUCCCUCCUUUGGGAAGAUCUGGGUGUUAACAGCAGGCCUUGCUUCGGGAUACACAGCAUCUGUGUGUCUCAGCCCUUGGAAGUCUGCAGGUGCCAGGAGAGCUCUGGGCAGUGAGCUUGCUGUGUCAGGAAAUAGUAUAGGCUCCUGACCACAAGGCGUCCGUCGUUUUUCAGAUUCGUGUUCCUCUAGCCAUAGUUUCUUUACUAGGAAUUUUAAGCUAGUUAAAUAUUCCCAUGUGUCUCACUCAUACCACCUUUUUUAGGUUAGACAGGCAACCAACAUCUAAGUUUUCUUUAAAACAACACUAAUAAAUCUUGUAGUACUAGGUGGAGAGCAUAAUAUACUUUUAUAAACAUGUCUGUUUACACUUACCUCUUGCACAGUUCACUUUUCCUUAAUAAAAAUAUGAUUAAAUCACUCUUAGAAAAUGACUUCAGAGUUACAGUACCAAUAGAACUACCAACUGGGAAC